UUCUAAAUUUGCAGCACCUGAUAUCUACACAUUGAAAAUCUGUAUCAUUUAAUACGCAUUCAGCCUAAGAACCAUGAAACUUCUCCAAGCAUGAAGAUAGUUAUGACCGUGAACUGCUCUUAAGCAGGGAACAGAACACUGGCAACAGACAGAGAGAUGUCAGGGAGGAUAUCAAGCAAAGUAAAGACAGGAAGCCAAAUACUAAAAGGCAUUAUUGAAUAAAGGGAGAUAGGCAUUUUCAGUGAGCUGAACACCUUACUCUUGCCAAGGGCUGACAUAGAGGGCAUAUCUCCACAUGGAGCAGGAAGGAGAGGGCAAGAAAUGUCACGUUAAAACUCCUGUCCAUAUAUAGAGCAUAUAGGUGCAAUUUGUGAGGGAGCAGUAACUGUGAACUUAACUCUCCUUUACUUGGGGCCAAGGAAGACAAUCAGGAUUUGCUACAUUUUUUUUUCCUGAAUAAUUGCAUGAUGGGCAUAUUCAAAAUUCCAGUAAUGUUUUUAUUCAUAAAAUUGACCUUGAUUAGCAUUUUCUGGGAUCCUUGUUCAGCUCCACAUUUCGAAGAAACAAUCAUCAUGUUUGUUGGCACUGGGCACGCUGUCUGGGUCUGAUCCAGAAGUCCACCUGUUUGUCCUAUCUACCAACAUUUCAUACACACUUUCCCCAAACCGUGGCCUCCUGCGCACUUAAAGGCUGCAGAGCCUUUGUAUGUUGCUCACAAAAGCAUUUCUUAAUAAUGGCUGUCUCCAACAGAUAAAGCUGCACGAGCUGUGGGGUGAGUUCUUGCCUGGAAACUGGAGCUAGCAGCCAAGCAGACAUGGGGGAGACCUGCAGCUCUACAUUCCAGACUUAAGAAACACAUCCUCAAGACUGGGGUGAAUGUGAGUGGCAACGCCCAUCUUAACAUGAAGAUCUAAAACCCCAUGAAGGUCCCAGAUGUUUCAGUGCUUGUCCUUAACCUGCUAGCUGGGAACUAAGAGACAACAUUUAAUCUUAAACAGUCAGCAGUGGCAGGCCUCAGUGAUUUUGUUGGCACAAGGUGAGUUUGCAGAUGACACCUAAUUGUUGGGAGUGGUCAAAUCCUUGGAGGGCAGGGCUGCUACUGAAAGGGACUGGGACAGGCUGGAGAAAUGGGCUGCGGGAACCCUGAAGUUUGGUACAAGCAAGCACAAAGUCCUACACUUGGGUUGGAAUAACUCCACACAACAGGACAGGCUGAGGGCUGGCUGUACAGGAAAGGGCUUUGCUGAAAAGGACCUGAGGGUGCUGGUGGAUGAGAGCAAUACGCCCUUGCUGCAAAGUCAGCUACAUCCAGGACUGCAUUAGCAAGAGGUUAGCCAGCAGGGCAAGGGAUUAUUCUUCUCCAUUUGGCACUUGUGAGACUAUACCCGGAGUAUAAAUCCUGAUCUGGGCUCCUCAGGACAUAGAAGACAUUAAUAUACUGAAGCACGCCCAGUUGAGAGCCACCAAUGUGGUCACAAGACUGAAGCACAGGGACAUACAAGAAGCUGGAAGAGCUGGGUUUGCUCGACUGGCAGAGAAGGAAAUCUCUCUUCCACUGUUUCAUGGGAGGGUGAGGACAAGAUGGAGGCACACACCUCUUGGGUGCACAGUAGAAGGACAAGAAGCAAUGGAGAGAAGUUAGAACAUGGUAAAUUUCUGACUCAAAAUAAUAAAAAUGUUUCUAAUGUAGAAGUGGUCAAAACUUCAAUUGGGCUGCUCAGAGAGAAUGUGGAAUUCAGAUCCUUGGAGCUAUUUAAAGCUCAACAUGGCAACCUGAUCUAGCUGAACCUACUUUGAGCAGGAUUAAAGACCCCCAUAGGCACCAGAGAUGGUCUUGAAUCUAUGAUUCCAACUUCUUAGCAUCAGGUGCUGUAGUUUAAAAAGACAGCAUGCCUGAUGGAUGCAGCAACAUAAAGUAAAAAUGUGGGUGGAAUCAUUCUCUACUCUAUAAAGCACUCCAUGGCACUGUAUUACUGUAUAGGCAUCUGAGGUAGCCAUUUGCAUUUCUUAUUAAUUAUUCUAAUCAGAGCCAUUAACAUAAUUGUUUUUAAUUGCUUAUGAAAUGGCAAAGAACCUUGCUGAAAGGAAAGGGCUAUAUAAAAUAUUGCUAGUUUUAUUUCAAGGAAUGUUUUCUACUUAGUGUUAGCUGAAUUCCAGUAAGCACAAAUUUAAAUUUAUCUCCAAUCUAUGCCAAAUUGAAUUUGUUUUUCUGUGUGAAUACAUAAGGACAAAGUAGAAUGUUUAUGAUUUUAAUAGUGCUACAAAAUGAUCUUUUUAAUAAUGCAUGAAGUAACCAGAGUUAUUGCAAACUCAAGUACUGAGCAGAUUGUAACAACCUUUCAGUAAACAUUAUUGUCUUACUCAAGUUCUGCAGAUCUUCUGGAUGCUAAAAGGAAAUCCUGUCCUGCCUCCAUGGCCUCUUUGUGAAAGAAAAGGAAAGAAGAAUCAAAUACAGAAACCACAAGAGGAAAAAGCACACUGUUCCCUGCACCAAAGCACUUUACAUGUGAUUAUAAGUCAAAUUAUAUAUUCUUUCCCCAGUGCUUUAGCAGAGUUUGAGUUUGUGGUCAGAAAAUGUCAGCCUUCACUGAGUAAUGUGCUUUUUGCAGGCCAGCCAGCUUUCCAAAAUGAGAAGUCUGUAGCUCCUGUAGUCUUACACAUACAAGUAUCUUAAAUGAUGAACCUGAGGUACCGAUGCUUUAAAACAGUUGUAUUAAAAAAAACAAAACAAAAAAAAGAAGUGUGCUUUUAUUUUCACCCUGUUUUGAACAUUUUCAGUCCUGCCAUCGUUUUUCAGUUUUCUACCUUAUUGAGCCAUAAACUUGUUAUAAUAAGCAAAAGGUGAAUUUUUGAAGUAAUCCUCAUCACCUGAACCCUGGAAUUGUGGUUGCAAAGGAACUAUAAAAUGUCACAAGGCUUGCAAUGAGAGAGAGUUGGCUACGUUCUGACAACCAUUGUCAGUGAGACAACAACAGCUGCUCUGAACAAUCACUACAGCCACAAAAGAACAAAUUAAUGGUCAGUCAAGGAGAAGCAAAAUGGAGAACAAAGGAUAAACUUGACCAAGCUAUGACCAACCAAGGGUAAACUAAACCAACUUUCCCAUAUGUUUAAUAGAAAUAAUAGCACUUAUUUAUGGAGCAGGGUUAUUUUCAGUUAUCAGUUCAUUAAUAUUUGUGAAAUGCUGGGGAAUCCUUCAUGGAAUAUGCAAAAUAAUGCAAAAUGUGAGCUAAUUAGCGUAUGUGCUGCUCCAAGGCAACCACAGCUUGUCUGAGGGAGGGAGGCUGUGUAGGUGAGGGGGCAAAACAGAGAAGAACAAACACAGGCAAAUGGCAAUAAGAUGUGUCGCAGAGGAAGAAGAGGAAAUGAAAUCGUAGGGGACAUGUAAGGAGGAAAUGAGGCCACAUGGGACAAAGAGGUGAUGCCUGGGUUCCUGCAGUAUAGAGACACAGGCACAAAUCUGUAUGUAACUGAGCUUUAUUACUAGUGCUGCUUAUGCAGUACCCUGUUGUUUGUUGUCUGUUUUGGGGUUUGUUGGGUCUUUCUGUUUUUUUUGUUGGUUUUUGUUUUGUUUUGUUUUUUUAAGAAAAAAACUAAGUAUAACCAGAGAAAAAGAAGUAUAACCAGAUGGGAGUAUUUAACUGACCAUCUGCAAGUACAGAGGGUAACUGUGCAUUUUUCAGGGUAUAAAUCUUCCAAGAGAAGAAAUCAAAAGCUUUAUACUUCUGUAUUGCUGACAAAGUGAGCAUUGUUUGAGAACAGAUUGCAACGUGCACUUGAACAAUAGCUUUAGAUCAGUGGAAGCACAGAAUACGGCUGUGACAUAUGUUUCAAUUAAAACAAAAAUAAUUAGCCACCCAUUAGUGUCAUGAAAAGCAGAGGCUAUUAACAGUAAAUGCUCUUUAGCAAUCGUAUUAUCUCCACAAAGCUGUUUCCAGUGUUUUUUAUACCCCUUAUUGAUAAUUUUUUCCACUGUGUAGGUAUCUGCCUGUUGUUUUACAUAUUCCUCCUCAGCUUCCUUUAUAUCUUGGUACUGUAGGAAACUGAUUAGUGGGGGAGACUGUAAUGAUACAAAGGCUCUUCACCUGGAGGCUGCCUGUUGUCAUAUUGUGCGUCAGUGUUGUUAUUACAUGACAGCCAAUUUUACUUCUGGAGAACUGCUGCAUAGAUCACAAAAAGUACGGUCUUGCUGACUGCAGUGGGAAGCUUUGAUGGUAUUCUGGUAAAGAACACAGAGACUGAGUGCCUUGCACUUCUCACCUCUAGUAAUGGAUUUUCCAAGUCAGUGUUAGAGCACUGUCACUGAGUCCUGAGUUUUUCAUACUAAGGAGAAACCAGAAUUACUGAGAUGAUGGUUUUGCUUGUGCCUGUGUCAAGGAUCAAAGCCAUUAAUUUUUAAAGAAAACUUUCUACUAUUGAAAGUAUUUAUUUCAAUAUUAAAAAAAAACCUUAUUUCUAAAUGUACCUGUGGCCCUCUUUCUCCAAAAGAUUCUGUUCAGAACAAUGUCAAAAAGCAUGCAGUUACUAUUCUCAUACCUAGCUCAUGUCCUUUAAUAUUGAGAUAACUGAGACCCAAACUGUACUCAUUUCUUUUGUAGUAUAAAAUGAUAUCUUUCAAAAGAGUUAUUACCUUUUUAUAAAUGGACUCUUUUCCUAAGAACUGUAACUUUAUUUUAAGUUAGAAUUCCACCUGCUUUUAGGAGUCUAGAGACUCACACAGGGAUAACUGUUUAGAAUUCUACUGUUAUUUUCAAUGCAAUUCAUGUUUAACACAAUCCCUAAUUCAGCACAAUUCUUAUUCUUUACAGUCUCACUGGACAUCUCAGCUGAUGUAUAUAGUAAGUGCUGUUGGUAGAUAUUUGUAUUCAGUUUAGUAGCAUUAAAUUUUCUGUUUUUUAUCUUUUCAGAUGCUUGUAAUCCUUUGUGUAAUAACAGGUUUGGUUUUUGCUAGCUAUAUAUGUAUGGCAAGAUGCCUGGUAUCAGCUGAGCUGUGCAAAUGAAAAUAUCAGAAUAUCCCUGUGUGUGAACUCUGCAAGAAACAAAUACUACCCUCUGCUUAAAAAAAAAAAAGGCACAAACCAACAAAACCCAACACCCUUGCUGAAGAAAGCUUUGGUCUUCUGAAAUGAGUGUAAGGGAAAAGUCAUUAUGUGUAAAUUCUACCCUGUCAGAGAACUCUCACCCAAUUUAUUCUGUUUACAAAUUUGGUCUAAUAAUGAUUAUUUCUCACACCUCUUGAGUGUCAGAUUUACUGAUGAAAUGUGCUAGGGAAUGAAAUAAUAUUCAACUAUUGUACAGCUGAAUUCAACUAUUGUACAGUUACAGUAUCAUAAGUUUAAGUUUUAUAGUUUGAUGAUAAUUUAUUAAUGCCUUGCUUAUGAUUACAAUUAAGACUGAAUUUUUUCUUUUGAACCCAUGAAUAAAGUGUACAACUCAUUUAACUACUUGCUGAGAUCCUCCCAUAUCCAGUUAGUCUACCAUCACCCCCCGUCACAGCACCCAGACAGCAUGUACGACUCUUCUGAAAAUGUAUCCUCAGCAUAAUUUACAGAGAUUAACCUACUAAUACCGAUGUUUAACUAUCUGUGAAUCAGUACAGAUAGUUUAAUAUAACAUGAAUUUCCAACUAUAUUUUCUGUUUGUCUCUUCUGUUCCCCAUAAAUGUGUUAAGAUUCCAGUUUUGUAUAGUCUGAUGCCGCUUCAGGUUUCCUUGGAAUUAUGAAAUACAAGUUCAGGAAAAUUUCUUUUAUGUCUUACUAUAUAUUACUGCAUAGCACAAAUCCUGCAACACCUGCUGCCCACAAAGUAAAGUGCAUAUCCAUAGCUAGGCUGGUUAAUCUAUUGUGAGAAUGGUGGAUGACCUUCACUGGGUUAUGUAUCAAUAAAAAUAGAUGGGGAAUUCAGACAGUUUUCUUGCAAGAACCAAUACCCCCCCUCUCCUUCCCCACCCCCCCACUCCUCCAUCCCCUGAUAUUUUAUGUCUAGAUCCAAAUUUAAGAAUUUCCAGAACAAGUAAAAAGAUAAAUACACAGAAAGCAACUUGUUCUGACCUCAGACCUGACUCUGCUAUGAGCAGAAGGUGGGACUAGAGACAUCCAGAGGUCCUGUCCAACUCGAAUUACCCUGUGGUCCUAUGAUCUUGCAGUCAUGCUCUAUACUAAUCCAACCAGAUGUGGUAUGCCUGCAUUCAGAUCCAGCAGCAAUAGUCCAACCAGUGGGUGGUUUGACUGGUUAGUGGAGGGGUAAACAGAUUCACGGGACCCAUUCUGUUAUCAAGCAAUGUUAAUAAAAACCUGACAUGCUCCAGACUCAGCAAAACCAUCUGUAGUCACAGAUAGAUGAUACAGGCACAAACACACCUGUACCAUGCCUACUCUUCAAUUUCUAAAGCCAGCCUACCCACACACCCUAGAGUAAACUGGGUGCCCGCCAAACCACAAGAUUAUGAAACAAGGAGAGGCACAGGGUGAGCAGCAGCAGUUUACACUUACUGUAUUUUCCUUUUUGCUCCUCUGUGUCUAUUAAUACCUCUGUACAUUUGGAGCAUAAGUUCUUCAGAAGAUAGAAUAGGGUUUUCUCCUGAAGUCUUACGUAGUGACUAAGGAGGUGAAGUGCUUUGGACUCUUGAUUUGUGUUUCUAGGUGUUAUGGUAAUUCAAAUACUGUGUAAUAACAACUACACAACUCUUAAGAGACUUUCAGGGCAGGGAGUUAAUUCUGUCUGUUCAACUAACAUACUUCUAAGAGAAAAGCAUCUAUUCUUUAACCAAAGUCCUCAGGAAAUACAGGCUGAUCCAUUUCUCAUGGAGGCAUAUUCCAACCAUUAAUGUCUUCCACUGUGAAAAGUUGUGUAGAAUUUCUAAUUUGAAUUUGUCUGAUUUCAGUUUAUAGGCAUUUUUCUCGUUAUGCCUCUUACUGUGAAAGAUUAGAAAUCACUGUAGCCGCCUUCCAGUUCUCUUUUUGAAAAGCCAAAGAGAUUGUGCACUUUAAGUCUUCCUAUGCAAAGAAUCUUCUCUAGCCUCAAAUAACUUCUUGACAUUCUUUCGACAACAAGGGCACUAGAGGCUAGUGCAGUAUUACCACAAGAAUCUCCCCAAUGGCACAUGUAGAAGGAAAAUAAUUUCUCUUUCUACUUGCCACAUCAGUGGUUACGUAGUCAAGGAUUCCAUUAUUUGCUCAUAUUGUAGGACUAGACUGGAAUUAAUUUUUGCUGUCACCCCCAUCUCUGCAGACAUGAUCUGCUCAUUCUAUUUUUAAGUAACUCCACUGAUGCCUAUAUUAAAAUACACUGUAUCUGAAAGGGAUUAAUUUACUAAACAAUGCAGAUCUUUUGAUAACCCCAGCUUGCAAUUAAUUUCCCAUUUAACCACUCUUUCUCUUCACAAUACAUGAGUUUUGCUUUGUCAUUGCUGAAAAUACUAAUACAUCUAUUUCUUUUUCUCUGUAUUAAGAUGCUUGUGCUCUCCUGCCAGCUUUCCUGAGCAACUAUACCCUUUGGAGCUGCUGUUCAGUGGAUACCACCUACCAGUUUCCUGAAUAAACUGGUCUGUUCCCUUAAAACCAAGUUCUGUAUUCUGCUGCUCUCCUUCUGCCCCCACAGGAUCAUGAACUCCAUUCCUCACUCACUUCAGGCCAGGCUCUGAUAGCCAAGCCAUCAAUUACAUCCCCCAGUUCUUCCUUGUUGGUGAAGAACAGAUCCAGCUGUGAAUC